rnacentral:rRNA from 1 species
AUUUUGACUGUGCAAAGGUAGCAUAAUCAUUAGUCUUUUAAUUAAGGACUGGUAUGAAUGGUUUAACGAAAUAUUAACUGUCUCAUAAUAAUAAUAUAGAAUUUAACUUUUAAGUCAAAAGGCUUAAAUGUUAUUAGAGGACGAGAAGACCCUAUAGAGCUUAAUAUUUAUACUUUUAAAUUUUAUUUAGAUGUUUAUAAAUUUUAAAUUUAGAAAUAUUUUAUUGGGGUGAUAAGAAGAUAAAAAUAACUCUUUUAAUUAAUUAAACGUUAAUUUAUGAAUAAUUGAUCCAUUAAUAAUGAUUAAAAGAUUAAGUUACCUUAGGGAUAACAGCGUAAUGUUUUUUAAGAGUUCUUAUCAACAAAAAAGAUUGCGACCUCGAUGUUGGAUUAAGGUAAUAGUUGGG